rnacentral:rRNA from 1 species
CUCAGAUUUGACGCUGGCGGCAGGCCUAACACAUGCAAGUCGAGCGGAUGACGGGAGCUUGCUCCUGGAUUCAGCGGCGGACGGGUGAGUAAUGCCUAGGAAUCUGCCUGGUAGUGGGGGACAACGUUUCGAAAGGAACGCUAAUACCGCAUACGUCCUACGGGAGAAAGCAGGGGACCUUCGGGCCUUGCGCUAUCAGAUGAGCCUAGGUCGGAUUAGCUUGUUGGUGAGGUAAUGGCUCACCAAGGCGACGAUCCGUAACUGGUCUGAGAGGAUGAUCAGUCACACUGGAACUGAGACACGGUCCAGACUCCUACGGGAGGCAGCAGUGGGGAAUAUUGGACAAUGGGCGAAAGCCUGAUCCAGCCAUGCCGCGUGUGUGAAGAAGGUCUUCGGAUUGUAAAGCACUUUAAGUUGGGAGGAAGGGUUGUAGAUUAAUACUCUGCAAUUUUGACGUUACCGACAGAAUAAGCACCGGCUAACUCUGUGCCAGCAGCCGCGGUAAUACAGAGGGUGCAAGCGUUAAUCGGAAUUACUGGGCGUAAAGCGCGCGUAGGUGGUUUGUUAAGUUGGAUGUGAAAGCCCCGGGCUCAACCUGGGAACUGCAUCCAAAACUGGCAAGCUAGAGUACGGUAGAGGGUGGUGGAAUUUCCUGUGUAGCGGUGAAAUGCGUAGAUAUAGGAAGGAACACCAGUGGCGAAGGCGACCACCUGGACUGAUACUGACACUGAGGUGCGAAAGCGUGGGGAGCAAACAGGAUUAGAUACCCUGGUAGUCCACGCCGUAAACGAUGUCAACUAGCCGUUGGAAUCCUUGAGAUUUUAGUGGCGCAGCUAACGCAUUAAG